UACAGAGGGGGCAAGCGUUGUUCGGAAUUACUGGGCGUAAAGGGCGCGUAGGCGGCCUGCUAAGUCGAACGUGAAAUCCCUGGGCUCAACCCAGGAACUGCGUCCGAUACUGGUUGGCUUGAAUCCGGGAGAGGGAUGUGGAAUUCCAGGUGUAGCGGUGAAAUGCGUAGAUAUCUGGAGGAACAUCGGUGGCGAAGGCGGCAUCCUGGACCGAUAUUGACGCUGAGGCGCGAAAGCCAGGGGAGCAAACGGG
rnacentral:rRNA from 1 species